AUUCACUUCAAUGACAUAUAUGCUAAUAUUGGAAUGAUACAGAGAAGAGUAACAUGGUCCCAGCAUAAUGAUAUGCAAAUUUGUGAUUUUUUUUUUU
rnacentral:snRNA from 1 species